rnacentral:rRNA from 5 species
CGAUACGGGACUCAUCCGAGGCCCCGUAAUCGGAAUGAGUACACUCUAAACCCUUUAACGAGGAUCAAUUGGAGGGCAAGUCUGGUGCCAGCAGCCGCGGUAACACCAGCUCCAAUAGCGUAUAUUAAAGUUGUUGCGGUUAAAAAGCUCGUAGUCGAAUUUGUGUCCCGCGCCGCCGGUUCAUCGCUCGCGGUGUUAACUGGCGUGUCCGCGGGACGUCCUGCCGGUGGGCUUAGCUCUCGGGCGGCCCAAUCUCAAUCCCACCGCGGUGCUCUUUACUGAGUGUCGAGGUGGGCCGGCACGUUUACUUUGAACAAAUUAGAGUGCUUAAAGCAGGCUAAAAUAUCGCCUGAAUACUGUGUGCAUGGAAUAAUGGAAUAGGACCUCGGUUCUAUUUUGUUGGUUUUCGGAACCCCGAGGUAAUGAUUAAUAGGAACGGAUGGGGGCAUUCGUAUUGCGACGUUAGAGGUGAAAUUCUUGGAUCGUCGCAAGACGGACAGAAGCGAAAGCAUUUGCCAAAAACGUUUUCAUUGAUCAAGAACGAAAGUUAGAGGUUCGAAGGCGAUCAGAUACCGCCCUAGUUCUAACCAUAAACGAUGCCAGCUAGCGAUCCGCCGACGUUCCUCCGAUGACUCGGCGGGCAGCUUCCGGGAAACCAAAGCUUUUGGGAUCCGGGGGAAGUAUGGUUGCAAAGCUGAAACUUAAAGGAAUUGACGGAAGGGCACCACCAGGAGUGGAGCCUGCGGCUUAAUUUGACUCAACACGGGAAACCUCACCAGGCCCGGACACCGGAAGGAUUGACAGAUUGAGAG